AGAAAGUUUUAGGCAGUCAUCUAUGGGUGGUCAUUUGCAUAGGGGUCAGUGCGUUUAUAGUAUUGAUUCUGUGUAUCUUAUCUUUGUGGGUCACAUGUCGAAAAAGAUCUAAGAGGACCAAUAAGAAGUACAAUAACCCUCAAAUACCUUUUGUCUCUAAAGAUAUCAGGGUUGACAGUGUAGGGGUCCAAAAUUUGAAUGAUCAUCCAGAAAGGUUAGUUGUCACAGUUCCUGAUAAAUCAAGUGAUAAGACUUCUGAGAACUUGUUAGCGCACCUAGGUAGAAGUAAAUCAAGUGAUGCUGAUAGCCAGUGCAGCUCGUUGUAUAAUCAAGAGAGGCCCUACAGUUCACAAUCAGGUGAAGAAGGGAGUUCUGGUACGGUUCGAAAGCAGCCCUCGUAUGUAACAGCUUCUCCUUUAAUUGGCUUGCCAGAAAUGUCACAUCUUGGUUGGGGUCAUUGGUUUACUCUUAGAGAUCUUCAGCUUGCAACAAAUCGUUUUUCAGCUGAAAAUGUGAUCGGGGAGGGCGGGUAUGGGGUUGUUUAUCAUGGAACGCUAGUCAAUGGAACUGAAGUAGCAGUGAAGAAGCUUCUAAACAAUCUGUGAGUACAAAUUAACAAACGUGCAAUUUGGAAAAUCACUCUCAAGUCUCGACUCUAUGGUUGCUUCAUUGCAUAUUCUAUUAUAAUCAUCUCGUAUUGUUUUCUGUAGUGGGCAGGCUGAGAGAGAAUUUAGAGUUGAAGUGGAGGCUAUAGGUCAUGUUCGGCAUAAGAAUCUUGUUCGACUUCUUGGCUAUUGUGUGGAAGGGGUUCACAGGUAAGCUUCAAGCUUUUUACUUAUCAGUUAGUUUCUGAAAUGAUCCAAAAAAUGUACUUAAAGUUUGUCUUGUUACUCAGAUAUGUAUAUGCCCUAUAAAAAGUAAACAAGAAUAGUUGAGUUGCGAGUCAGUCAGUGUACUUCUCUGUCAGGAUGGUCCACCUUACUUCUAUUUUGAUCUAACAACUUUGUUUUUCUUUCUUAUUGCAGGAUGCUGGUUUAUGAAUAUAUGAACAAUGGCAACUUAGAACAAUGGCUUCAUGGGGCCAUGCGUGAACGUGGAAGCUUUACUUGGGAUGCCCGUAUGAAGGUCCUUCUUGGCACUGCAAAAGCGUAAGUUAAUUAUGCUCGAGUUGCUUGAACAUUGAUGUUUUUUCUUUUCAUGUACAUAUUAUAUAGUCUUCCUUGUCUGCCUAAUUACUUCCAUCAAUAUCUUUUACUUCCAUUAGGACCUUGUAAAUUUAUUAUCAGUUAUCAAUCAUCUGAGUGUUACAGUCAGUGUAAUUAUCUGCAUGUAAAAUUUACUUUGCUGAUCUUAUCAUGUUGUUUUGCUUGUAACCAUGUGAAUACUUGUUUUCUAUGUGGUUCUGCAGUCUUGCCUACUUGCACGAAGCUAUUGAACCUAAAGUCAUUCAUCGAGAUAUAAAAUCGAGCAAUAUCCUGAUUGAUCGUGAAUUCAAUUCCAAAGUUUCUGACUUUGGAUUGGCCAAGCUCUUGGAUUCAGGAGAAAGUCAUAUAACUACCAGAGUCAUGGGAACAUUUGGGUAUGUACGCCCUUUUCUAAUACACAUGUCUGCUAGCCGUUGAGUAAGAAAUUUAAAUUUAUCAUACGGUAUGGUGUCAAACAUCAGUAUCUUCUGUAAUUUCCAGCUAUGUGGCUCCAGAGUAUGCUAACACUGGCUUGCUAAAUGAAAAGAGUGACAUCUAUAGUUUUGGGGUUCUCCUUCUCGAGGCAAUUACCGGAAGGGACCCGGUGGACUAUAGCCGGCCCUCCAAUGAGGUACGAAGGCCGUACCAGUUAUUCUUUUGAUUUUGACUAGUUUAUCUGACUGUCUAUUCAUCUACUUCUAGUUUGUUGGAGUAAAUAUAAAAAUUCACAUGUAGAGUGUCUAUAGUUGCACCUCUAAAAUUCCUAUUUGUGUUUUUGAUAUUUUAGAUUGUUAAAAUAGAAUAAAUGAUGUGCAAUCUUCCUACAGAUUUCUUACAGACCUGUAGAGGUUCGACAAAUUUAGUCAUCCAUAAGAUGUUGGCUAAAAUUAUAGACAAUAGCUGGGUAUGAUUGGACCAUGAGUUUUUCGAGCUGUUGGCUAAAAGUUUGUAUUUUUAAUAUAUCAACUCAUGUUUUAGCUAAGAGGUUUCAAUGGUUGGAGAUGCUCUAAGAGCAUCUCCAAUAAGUUCUUAAAUAGGCUUCUAACUCAAAAUUUAAAGAGUAUGAUAAAAAAAAUGAGCUCCAAGAGACUGGCUCUUAAAAAACUUAAGAGCCUCUUCUCUCCCCUCUAUUUUAAGAGUCAUGUACUGACUCUUAACUUGUUUUUAAUAAUAAAAAAUGGGAUAAAUAUCAAUGUCAUCACUCAUUUGGUUCAAAUAUAUCAAAUUACUCACUCAUUUGAAAAUUGACUCAAUUUAGUCACUCACUUGUAAUUUUGUAUCAAAAAAAUCACUCUAUCGUUAGUCGAAAUUCUUAAAACUAUUAUAUUUUGAGUUUCUCACAUUUUUUUUUAUAAAUGAUAUUACAUCCAAGUGAAAGAUUCCGAGUUAUAGUAUUUUAGAUAAUAUUUUUAGAUUUUUAAAACUUUAUCAACUAUUUAUUUUUAAUUUUUUGAUUAUUUUAUUUGAUUUAAAUAAAAAAAUAGUAGAUAAAUUUUAAAAAUCUAAAAAUAUUAUCUAAAAUACUAGAACUUAGAAUCUUUCAUUUGGAUGUAAUAUCAUUUAUAAAAAAUGUGAGAAACUCAAUAUAUAAUAUUUUUAAGAAUUUCGAAUAAUGAUGGAGUGAUAUUUUUGAUAUAAAAUUAUAAGUGACUGACUAAAUUGAGUCAAUUUUCAAAUGAGUGAGUAAUUUGAUAUAUUUUAACCAAACGAGUGAUGACAUUGAUAUUUAUCCCAAUAAAAAAUUCAUUCCCUCCACUACAUUAAUUUGAAUCUUUGACAUAAUGGAUUUAGAUAAGAAUAAAAUAUAGGAUAUAGAGAGCAUUGUUGGAGUAUCAAUUUUAAAACUACACUAUAUUACUAAAAAUUAUAUUUUUUAUAUUAUAUUUAGUCUCCGGAGGCUCUCGGACUCUAACCCACUCAAAUAAUGAUACUAGGAAAAUACAAGCAUGUAUAUCUCAACAUUUACUUUAAAGAUUAGAAAUUUGUCCCAACACCUUUAAUAAAAUUUGUACAGUACUCAUUCUCGAGGGCCCACUUUGAGGGCAUCCUUUCUUCUUCUACUUCCAAACUACGCCUCCUCACCUUCUGAGUUGUUUUCUUCCCCUCUGCAUUGCAUAAUUCAUUAUGCUUUGCAGAGCCCAUUUGCUCAAAAAGGAACCCCUUCUUUUUGUUUUUUGGGAAUCUCAAGCUCAAUUACUUCAAUCUUGAUUCACCAAGGUAACUUCUUUGUCUUAAUCUUAAUGCCCUUUGUGUUAGAUUUGCUUUCACCCCAUGUUUCAAGAUUUAGAUUUGCUUCAUUUGUGAUAAAGUUAAGGCCUUUACUUGUGUUGUUUACAAGAGUUAGUACAUGAGAAUGUGUGGACAUGUUUUGCGUACUGUAUUGAGGUUUGGUAUGUAACUAAUUGAUUAGUUGACUUGUCUUAGUUAAUUGUAUCUGUUUGAUGUGUCUUGCUGUAAGAUUCUAAUCAAGUGGAUGUUCAAACAUUAGUCCCUUUGAUUAAGACUGCUACCAACUUUUAAUUGUAGACAACUUUGUAUAUGUUGCAAGUUUCUAGAGUCUCAAGAAGGUUUUGGUAGAAUGACAUUAAUUUGUUUGCAAUUGAAUUGUUUUGCAGAUAUUUGACAUUUUUUUUUGGAUCGAGAAGGCUAUGGGUUGAUUUCGCAGAAACCUGAGAUUUCGGAGGACAAUUUAGUUUUGUUAUUAGGUUAAUGAAAUGGCAUCCGGGGAUUUAAAUGCACAAUUAAAUAAGAAAGUUUUAGGCAGUCAUCUAUGGGUGGUCAUUUGCAUAGGGGUCAGUGCGUUUAUAGUAUUGAUUCUGUGUAUCUUAUCUUUGUGGGUCACAUGUCGAAAAAGAUCUAAGAGGACCAAUAAGAAGUACAAUAACCCUCAAAUACCUUUUGUCUCUAAAGAUAUCAGGGUUGACAGUGUAGGGGUCCAAAAUUUGAAUGAUCAUCCAGAAAGGUUAGUUGUCACAGUUCCUGAUAAAUCAAGUGAUAAGACUUCUGAGAACUUGUUAGCGCACCUAGGUAGAAGUAAAUCAAGUGAUGCUGAUAGCCAGUGCAGCUCGUUGUAUAAUCAAGAGAGGCCCUACAGUUCACAAUCAGGUGAAGAAGGGAGUUCUGGUACGGUUCGAAAGCAGCCCUCGUAUGUAACAGCUUCUCCUUUAAUUGG
rnacentral:lncRNA from 1 species